CGCACAAACCCUACCCUUUCAAGGGCUCCCAGAUCGAUGCAGCCGCCUCCCUUAUCCCUCUCUUCCUCCCCCAAUGCGCCGGCCGCCGCCACCUGCCAUACCGCGUCCCCGCUGCGGCCAUGGCCUCUUCAAGAGGCACGCCCCUCCAUGGUCAGAAGCAGCAGACCAGGAUCCGGAUGAGGAAGAGGAGAUCCGGGCGCCCCAACGGUGGAUCGAUCGAUGCCCGGAUGAGGAAGAGGAGAUCCAGGCGCCCCAAUGGUGGAUCGAUCGUUGCGAGGUGACGACGAGCUCCUCCGGACGUGGGGGAGCAGUGAGGCUGGAGAUCCAGUCGGUGCAUGCCCCACGGGGUUGGGGAGACGCCGGCAAUAGGGGCAAGGUGCAUCAGGGUCGAAGCUGCAGCGCUCCGGUCCCCAAGCCGCCUCCAGGCUCGCUUCCUCCUCCAUCCUCCCGCAUCUCAUCCAUCUCGACGGAUACGAGGCGUGCGGGCACGGAGGCGAGGUUCUCCGGCGGCGGCGGGAACCUCCAGGCAGAGAGCGACCCCAUGGAUCCGUCCCUGCAGAAGAGAAGGAAGGAGAGGAGACAGGCCAUGGAGAUGGGAUGAGAACGUCCAUGGCCAGCCAAUCGAGCCCACCUCCGGUGCGCGACCCCAGGAAGGAUUUUGCGCUGCCGUCUUCUUUCGCCGGUCUGUGCCCUGGAAGAGCGACACCAGCCAGUGCUUGCUGGUUUCAGGCAUUGUAUGGGAAUGAAGCAAAAAGUCUGCCUUCCAUUGGCGUGUGAGUACUUGCACUUGGACCUUUUUGUGAGCAGUACUAACUAAUCUAAUGAUCUGAUCCUUGCAAUCUAAGGAAAAAAUAAAUCUAAGUCAUUUCCGAUCUGAAGAUCUGGGUACCAACUAUUUCUGUUUGUGUCUAUAAGCUUUUGAUUUUCCGCCAGGUCUAUUUUUUAUUUGCAAUGUUGAACCCUCUUUUCAUUUCUUGUGAAUAUUUCUUUUUGUUUGAUCAGUACUGCACCUGGUUAUCUACAGUGGAAGGCAAGGAUAACUAGAUUAAACAUUUCACAAGACCCUCCCAAUUACAGGCACAAACUCCUUUCAAGAUAUUACAAGUGUGGUUGAUUACGGGAGAUUGUCAGAUGAAAAGAAGGUAUAUCCUUUAUAUUUAUCUAGAUGUUUAAUUAGCUGCACAACCAUACGUGAUUCUAUAAGGAAACUAUUUAUCCUGGCGAUCUUGAUAUCCAGUCAUGUAUUACAAUAUUAGUAUAGGCUGUAAUUUUUGGCUAGGAAUCUAUAUAUACAGAACCUAAACUGAAGACUCAAUAUAGCACAUAUACUUGGCCAGUUAUCCUAAGAAUAUUAAUCCACCUGGACUUUUAACUUGACUUCCAAAGAAGUUCUUAACGAUCAAGCAUUUUUGAGUUUUUAGUAAAUUGAAAUAAUGUUGCACUUUGACAAUACUAUUCUGAUUUUGCAAGUUAAUAGAAAUCCUUCAA